rnacentral:lncRNA from 1 species
UGAGGAUGGGGUCGAUUCAACUUUCACUUGGGUCGACCCAAGUACUGUUCAUCCGUGCCAUAAGUGCUAGAAUGUGCCAGAAUGUUUCUUGAUGUGCCGGGAUCGACUCCACCUCUUAUAGGGUCGACUCCUACUUUGUGCCAAGUGUUCCAAAGGCGUGCCAAACGUAUCGGGGUCGACUCUAACCAUGUUUUUCUACACUUUGAAGGUUAGUUAUGCACAUUGAAACAACAAUAUGAUAUUCCAAGCAAAUUAUGAUGCAUGGCACAAUAAAGUUUUAUACCCUUAACAGUAGAAAUUACCGAAUUGCCCUUUUAGGUAUUUUUAACGUGCAACUUUGUCAAAAUGAAUUCUUGAGCUUUCUACCAUUCUCUAUUACAAAUUUUAUGUCGUUUAUCAAUCUUGAGAGUGGUUUUGACCAUAUAAUCAUAAUGUAUCAUGAGUGUAUCGAGGGUGUGCCUUUUAUCAAUGAUGUAUCAAGUUAAUUUGCAUUUCUAAUUUGAUAUGGCCUCAA